rnacentral:pre_miRNA from 1 species
AGAGGAUUGCUGGGCAACAUGGUAAAUAUAUAUCUCACUUUAUAAGAAACUGCUAAAUUGUUUUCUAAAGUGACUGUACCAUUUUGCAUUCCCACUAGCAAC